rnacentral:rRNA from 1 species
AUUGAACGCUGGCGGCAGGCCUAACACAUGCAAGUCGAACGAGUGGCGGACGGGUGAGUAAUGUCUGGGAAACUGCCCGAUGGAGGGGGAUAACUACUGGAAACGGUAGCUAAUACCGCAUACCAUCGGAUGUGCCCAGAUGGGAUUAGCUAGUAGGUGGGGUAACGGCUCACCUAGGCGACGAUCCCUAGCUGGUCUGAGAGGAUGACCAGCCAAAAUGGAACUGAGCAAAGGGCCCGAAGCCUAAGGGAGGCCGCAGUGGGGAAAAUUUGCCAAGGGGGGGAAGCCUUAUGCAGCCCUGCCGCGUGGUUGAAGAAGGCCUUCGGGUUGGAAAGUAAUUUUAGGGGGGAAGCGUUACUCGCAGAAGAAGCACCGGCUAACUCCGGGCCAGCAGCCGCGGUAAUUC